UAAAUGGACAUCAACAGUUUGAGGCCGAUGGGAAAAGCAACACGGCGCCCUGAUUGGCCCCUCCAACGAUGACGUCACGAGCCUCCGGCCCAGUACAGACCAGAGAUCAGCGCGCCGCCCAGCAGACCUCCUCCCAGUACAGGCCAGCGCCCAGUAAGAAACAACAAAUUAACUUUAAUAUUUAAGAUUAAUUGGUGGAACAAACAGUAUCCGCCUGUCCAUGUUACCGGCCAGGAGAGGCAGACCCUCAAGAGAGACCAUGAGGUCCAAUCCCCGGAUAUUGCAACACACCACGGCGAUCUUCAACCACAGAAGCCAACAUCCACAUUAACUCGUAAUCAAUUCGUCCAAUGAAGGUGUCCCCUGAAGCACCAACUUGUUUUUGUCUCAGGCCUGCUGCUUGGGUCAGUUAUCACAUAAGCCAUGUUCUGGCCAAGUUUAGCUCCCCCUAGCGCUCUGACAAUUGAAUCACAAUGCCUACAUUCAUUUGAGAUUAAGUAUUUUCAAAUUUGAUUCCUUUAAUUUGUAUACAAAAUUUUAAAUACAGAUUGUUUCAUGAAUGAUCUUUCAUGGCUCUAAACCCUUCAGUGAUCAGAACCAUCAUUGCUGUGAUCCUGAACUUUGUCUUGAAAAUGUAAGGAAGUAUUUUCUUGAUGAAUGUAAAUUAGUCAUGCAACAUAACAGUUGUGCAAGAGAGGCUGGAGAGCAAUACAAAAAUAAAUAAGCGUAGAGUGGUGCAGUACCGACAAUAGGUGGUCAAGUCAUAGUUGACAUUAUUUUAUUUUUCAUUGAAUAACUCUAAUUUAUUUGUUUCCGUGUCUUCGGACCAAGAAUUGAAUCAGAAGAAAUAAACAAGUCCCGAGAUCGAGUGUACAGUUCUGUCCGAGAGAAAACAACAAACCAUGGUCAUCACAUCUCACCCAUCAUCUGCUCUUAGCUGUUAUGGCAUUUUACAUACGCUUUAAAUAGGACUUUUGACCGAAUAAGCAACUCGUUUUGAAACAUAUAUUAGUAUCCUCACUUGAAAGCAACCUUGAAUAAACGUGGUUCCCUGGGUCUGUGCAUAAGGAGCUGACCGAGGCCAGAACAGAACGGUGCUGAUCAGAGACCGGUCCUCUGAGGGGCGGAGACAGUGAUAGACAAACCUAGACCCCACAUCUGAACCUCCCAGUCCUCGUGAUCCUCCGGGACUCCGCUCCAGGCCGUCCCGUUCACAGGGGUUCAGAUGGAACGGUGAUCUGCUGUUACUCCAGUGUAAAAGUCAUUGUCUAGAAAAAUAUUGAGAUUUACAUGAACAUAACUUUUGACUAUGUUACAAUAAAAACUCCAGGUGUGUGUUGAA